AGUUUGAUCAUGGCUCAGGAUGAACGCUAGCGGCAGGCCUAAUACAUGCAAGUCGAGGGGUAAGAGUCAGCUUGCUGACUACACGACCGGCGCACGGGUGCGUAACGCGUAUGCAACCUACCUUUAACAGAGGAAUAGCCCCGAGAAAUCGGGAUUAAUACCACAUAACAUUAUGAUAUGGCAUCAUAUUAUAAUUAAAACUCCGGUGGUUAAAGAUGGGCAUGCGUGACAUUAGCUAGUUGGUGAGGUAACUGCUCACCAAGGCUACGAUGUCUAGGGGUUCUGAGAGGAUGAUCCCCCACACUGGUACUGAGACACGGACCAGACUCCUACGGGAGGCAGCAGUAAGGAAUAUUGCGCAAUGGAGGCAACUCUGACGCAGCCAUGCCGCGUGCAGGAUUGAAGGCCUUAUGGGUCGUAAACUGCUUUUAUUUAGGAAUAAACUUUCGUACGUGUAC
rnacentral:rRNA from 1 species